CCUACGGGUGGCAGCAGUGAGGAAUAUUGGUCAAUGGGCGCGAGCCUGAACCAGCCAAGUAGCGUGAAGGAUGACUGCCCUACGGGUUGUAAACUUCUUUUACACAGGAAUAAAGCGAGGCACGUGUGCAUGUCUGCAUGUACUUUAUGAAUAAGGAUCGGCUAAUUCCGUGCCAGCAGCCGCGGUAAUACGGAGGAGCCGAGCGUUAUCCGGAUUUAUUGGGGUUAAAGGGAGCGUAGGUGGGGUGUUAAGUCAGUUGUGAAAGUGUGCGGCUCAACCGUAAAAUUGCAAUUGAUACUGGCAGCCUUGAGUACAGUUGAGGUAGGCGGAAUUCGUGGUGUAGCGGUGAAAUGCUUAGAUAUCACGAGGAACUCCGAUUGCGAAGGCAGCCUACUAAGCUGCCACUGACAUUGAUGCUCGAAGGUGUGGGUAUCAAACAGGAUUAGAUACCCUGGUAGUC
rnacentral:rRNA from 1 species